GGGGAGAUACUCUGGAGGAAGCAUUUGAGCAAUGUGCAAUGGCCAUGUUUGGUUACAUGACAGAUACUGGGACAGUGGAGCCCCUCCAAACAGUAGAAGUAGAAACCCAAGGAGAUGACUUACAGUCUCUUCUGUUUCACUUUUUGGAUGAAUGGCUUUAUAAGUUCAGUGCUGAUGAAUUCUUCAUACCCCGGAAGUUGUGUGCUAUUGUUUUCUAGAAAAGGUUGUAAAGGCCAGGCGCGGUGGCUUACGCCUGUAAUCCCAGCACUUUGGGAAGCCGAGGCAGGUGGAUCACCUGAGGUCAGGAGUUCGAGACCAGUCUGACCAAUAAGGAAGUGAAAGUACUUAGCAUUGAUCAAAGAAAUUUCAAAUUACGAUCAAUUGGGUGGGGAGAAGAAUUUUCAUUGUCCAAGCACCCUCAGGGAACAGAAGUCAAAGCAAUAACAUAUUCAGCAAUGCAGGUCUAUAAUGAAGAGAACCCGGAAGUUUUUGUGAUCAUUGACAUUUAAGACACCAAAAAAUAAAAGACUCCUACGAAGAA
rnacentral:lncRNA from 1 species